UACGGAGGGUGCAAGCGUUAUCCGGAUUCACUGGGUUUAAAGGGUGCGUAGGCGGGCAGGUAAGUCCGUGGUGAAAUCUCUGAGCUUAACUCAGAAACUGCCAUGGAUACUAUUUGUCUUGAAUGUUGUGGAGGUAAGCGGAAUAUGUCAUGUAGCGGUGAAAUGCUUAGAUAUGACAUAGAACACCAAUUGCGAAGGCAGCUCACUACGGAUAUAUUGACACUGAGGCACGAAAGCGUGGGGAUCAAACAGG
rnacentral:rRNA from 1 species